CUUGUCUGCCGACCGUCUUUACGCACAGCACACAGUACACAGGUAGUUUCACAUUUCAGACGCUCGAUUCUACGGACGAAAAUGUGCUCGGUUGUACAACUACUCAUUGCCAGCUUCCUGCUGGUUGUGCUCGCUGCUUGCGUAUCUGCGACACCAGUCAUCUCAGAUGAAGCGACGGAGAAUGAUCUGAAUAUGCUACGAGCAUAUUACAUGUUGAAUCGACCACAAGACAUGGAUCUGGAGCUACCGGGAUAUUCUAACAGCUUGCUAAAGAGAGGGAAGCCAGCUUAUAGUAUAAAGUGCCUCUUCAACACAGUGGCUUGCUACAGGAAGAAGAGAGCAGUGGACAGGUUGUUGGUGCAGUAACCAACUACACGUCUCAGAAAAAUCUUUAUUGGAUUGGCGUUGACAAUGAGGACGGCUUUCCCUACUCCACUUAAAUCGUUUGGUCAUCUGCAAAUAACGCGAUGUCCAGUGAAAGGCAGUCCGGCAAUCUACGAAACGGCGGCUCCGUCCGAGAUGAGAACGCGCCAGAUAGAACUUAGUCGGUCACAUAUAUUAACGUACACAACCUCUCAACACAGCAAGUAACGCUAUAUGAUGAUUAUCUAUCGACCAAACCGAAGCAGUCAUUAGGCGUUUCGCACACCAAGGGAUUAAAAUAAAAGUGGGGUUUAGGUUAUGAUGGUGGCGAAUGAAGUUCCCAGCUUGAUUACGCCUUAGAGAUCUUGUAUCAGAAGUAGAUAAUAGGAAAUUCCCUAUUAUCUACUUCUGAUCUGUAUGGAUUACGCGGCUCGUUUAAUUUGUGGUGGGAAAGUGCUGCCAUCUAUCGGUAGUACACAAUGAAUACAUUUUUAUUGUUUACUAUGUCUGCAAAGUUUAUAUAAAUUAUAAUAAUUGUAAUUACUAAAUGAUAUGGUAUGAUUGUAGAUAUAAAAUAGAUUCCCGGAAUUUGUACUGCGUCGCAUGCGCAUUGGAAGUUGGAAGUAAGAUUAGGAAGAAAAUACAACAAUAAUACCUGAGGGUACAAAGAAGAAAACAACAAAGCAAAAUCCGCGGUUUAAGAUGCAAGCAACCUCAUCAAUUAUGUUUAUCAAUUAUCAUAACGACAUGACAAUUAUAUAAUUUAUGUAUUAAAAUAGACUUGUAUUAUUUAUUAUUAUUAGACAUUCGUAUGCGUAAUUUGUAUAUAUGUUUUUAAUAUCGAUCAACUCUUCUGCUGAUAUUCUAACGCACGAGAACAAAACAGUUUUUUAUUCUAUUGUUGAACAUAUUAUAAUAGAAUAAAAAUGAAAGCUACCUUCUUAUAAUGGUUUACCUACA